CCUACGGGUGACUGCAGUGGGGAAUUUUGGACAAUGGGGGCAACCCUGAUCCAGCCAUGCCGCGUGAGUGAAGAAGGCCUUCGGGUUGUAAAGCUCUUUCAGCCGGGAAGAAAUCGCAUCAGCUAAUACCUGGUGUGGAUGACGGUACCGGAAUAAGAAGCACCGGCUAACUACGUGCCAGCAGCCGCGGUAAUACGUAGGGUGCGAACGUUACUCGGAAUUUCUGGAGGUAAAGCGUGAAGAGGCGGUUGAAAUCCCCGGGCUCAACCUGGGAACUGCGUUUGUGACUGCACAGCUAGAGUAUGGCAGAGGGGGGUGGAAUUCCACGUGUAGCAGUGAAAUGCGUAGAGAUGUGGAGGAACACCGAUGGCGAAGGCAGCCCCCUGGGCCAAUACUGACGCUCAUGCACGAAAGCGUGGGUAGCAAACAGGAUUAGAUACCCGUGUAGUC
rnacentral:rRNA from 1 species